GUGCUUGCUUCGUCAGCACAUAUACUAAAAUUGGAAUGAUUCAGAGAAGGCUGGCACGGCCUCUGUGCAAGGAUGACAUGCAAAUUUGUGAAGUGUCCCAAAAAAAU